GACGAACGCUGGCGGCGUGCUUAACACAUGCAAGUCGAACGGAAAGGCCCUGCUUUUGUGGGGUGCUCGAGUGGCGAACGGGUGAGUAACACGUGAGUAACCUGCCCUUGACUUUGGGAUAACUUCAGGAAACUGGGGCUAAUACCGGAUAGGAGCUCCUGCUGCAUGGUGGGGGUUGGAAAGUUUCGGCGGUUGGGGAUGGACUCGGGGCUUAUCAGCUUGUUGGGGGGGUAGUGGCUUACCAAGGCUUUGACGGGUAGCCGGCCUGAGAGGGUGACCGGCCACAUUGGGACUGAGAUACGGCCCAGACUCCUACGGGAGGCAGCAGUGGGGAAUAUUGCACAAUGGGCGGAAGCCUGAUGCAGCAACGCCGCGUGCGGGAUGACGGCCUUCGGGUUGUAAACCGCUUUCGCCUGUGACGAAGCGUGAGUGACGGUAAUGGGUAAAGAAGCACCGGCUAACUACGUG
rnacentral:rRNA from 1 species